rnacentral:rRNA from 1 species
AGCGAACGCUGGCGGCAGGCCUAACACAUGCAAGUCGAACGAACCCUUCGGGGUUAGUGGCGGACGGGUGAGUAACACGUGGGAACGUGCCUUUAGGUUCGGAAUAACUCAGGGAAACUUGUGCUAAUACCGAAUGUGCCCUCCGGGGGAAAGAUUUAUCGCCUUUAGAGCGGCCCGCGUCUGAUUGGCUAGUUGGUGAGGUAAUGGCUCACCAAGGCUACGAUCAGUAGCUGGUCUGAGAGGAUGACCAGCCACAUUGGGACUGAGACACGGCCCAAACUCCUACGGGAGGCAGCAGUGGGGAAUCUUGCGCAAUGGGCGAAAGCCUGACGCAGCCAUGCCGCGUGGAUGAUGAAGGUCUUAGGAUUGUAAAAUCCUUUCACCGGUGAAGAUAAUGACUGUAGCCGGAGAAGAAGCCCCGGCUAACUUCGUGCCAGCCGCCGCCGUAAAAC